UAAUCCACGUUUAGUGAGUGUCCUUGUUCUACAGAUUAGGCAAAUGAGGCUCAGACAGAUUAAAAUACUUGGCCGGAUUUGAACGUGGCUGGGAUGGAAAUUGACUUGAUAUUCCCACCACACCGCAGCCAUUCCCUGGGAAGAUUUCAUCGUGCAGCAGUGUAGGCUGGCCUGGAGCCAGGGAGGCAGAGGGGAGAUGAGCGGAAAAGACUGAUGUUUCCUUUACAGACGACCAGCAAAUCGCCGCCACACAUAAUGUGACCCUCAAGCAUAACAUGGUCUCCCACUUUCUGCAAAGGCUUUUCUUAUCCGAAUGCAGACACUGGCUAAAGGUGGCAGAUGGAGCCAGAGCUUGAAGUGAAGCUUGAACAUUCAGGAAGCCAGUCUUCGUGAGUCUAGAUCUUGAAGGCCACGAACAAUUCCAGAAAGGAAGUAUGGUCAGCAGUGCAGAGUCUGGAUUUCAGGCAGACAGGAGGGCAGAGAGGCUGUAAAAACCUGGCACACAGCUUUUCGGAGCAGAGUUUUCUGAUCCACAAAAUGAGAGGAAGGGCUCUUCUUUGCACAUCUCUCCCCUGGCCCAGUAAAUGACACCACCAACCAACCAAUUGCUUGAACCCGAAACCAGGAAUCAUCUUGGAUUUCCUCACUUGUCCUCUGUCUCGAUUCUAAGCCAAAAAGCAAGUUCUGUGGCUCAACCUAUCAAACGCAUCACAAAUCUAUCUACGUCUCCAAACAGUGGCCAGAGGACCUUGAAAAAGGAAAGCCCAACUCUUUGCUACAGCUCUCGAGGCACUCCGGAUCCCGCCCCUGCCUUGCUAUCCUGUCCGACCCCCGCCCCUUGGCCCAGCCACACUGGCCUUUCCUGGUCCCCGGCUGCACUCAGAGCCCUUGCCCUUGCUCGGGACUCUGCCUGGACUCCUCUCUGCCCAGAAAGCAGCUUUGUGCCCCUGGCUCCUUCCAGUCAUUCAGGUCUUGGCUCAACUGUCCCCUCUGCAGGGGCCAGCUCUGACCACCCAUCCUGAGCCAGGGCAGAUGCCAUGGCAAGGGCAGGGGGUCGGGGAGCAUGCCUAGAGGGGAGAGUCAGAACUGGGCCUGAGCCGUAUGGACUCCUGGGGAAGGACAGCCUGGGGUGGGGGAUGGGCUUCGACAGACUGGGACUCUCCAGAGUGGCUCCCGGGAGCCAGGACAGAGCUCGAACAACAGCCUCAGGGCCCCCAGCCCAGGAGGCGCAGUUGGAAGGGUCCAGUAAGGGAUUUUAUGAGAACACAGGCAACGUCCAGAAAACAAAACGAAACGAAACAAAAACACCAAAGAAGUAAAAAGAAAGAGCUUUAAGUAUUAGAAGACCUUGAGAGCUGGAAGCAAACCUAUUUUUUUUUUUUUAAGAUUUAUUUUUGUAUCUAUUUGAGACAGACAAACUCCAAGCAGGCUUGGAGCCUGAUGGGGGCUCAAUCAGGGUCAUGAGCCAAAACGAAGAGUCAGGUGCUUAACCAACUAUACCAUCCAGAUGCCCCUGAAAGCAAACUUCAAACCAUGAAACAACUCUCGACUUCCCUUCCCCUCAUCCUUUGGCAAACUCUGGAACAGGAGAGGAGAGAAUAUGUAAACAAAUAAGGGACAGGAGCUGACCCAGACGUCUGCCCCAUGGCCAGUCAGCCACUUUGUCCAGGCCUUUCCUGCAGCCACCAGCCCAGCGCGGGAGAAAGCUUACCUUUGAGCGAAGACUGAGACUGACAUCACCGUCGAUAACUUCCUUGGGACUUGCCAUUCUGAUUUCUGAAUUAAGAUCAUGUUUGGGGCUCCCAGUGACGACCUGGGUUUCUGAUAUCUAAGAGAGCCCAGAAAAGUCUCAAGGCUGCUGUAGGUGCCCAGGGAAAGCCUUCCCCUUUAGGAUACAUUUUUAAGAGCCAGAGACAAAAAUAAAGCCAUACUGGGAUCCUAACCCAUGAGCUGUUCUGCCUUAGAGCAAGCAGCCUAGCGUGGAGCCAAGCAGGGUUCGGUCUGAGUUCCAGGCCUUUGGCCCAAGGCUGUAACAGUGGGAUCAAAGCUGAAGCAAUAAAUAUAGGGUUACCAGAGUCUUCUUCGUCCAGAGGCUUUUCUGCUAAUUUCACAGAUUAGCCUUGAUUUUACUCAAGAUUAGAUGAAUCGUCACUAUUCUUUGUUCUGGAAGGAUCUUUUCUUUCAAGGAAUUUAAUUUUCCAUGACCGCGUAAGUGAUCUGUUUGAAUAUACAUAUUUACUUGGGCCUUUCCUGGGUCAGACAGCCAGGAAGGAAGCUGAGAGGUCUUACACAGACGAGGAGAAUCAGACGAGCCUACCGGGGUCUACAGGGAACGUCGCCAGCUUUGUAACCCAGGUUGGAGCUAAGCAUUCUCCCUUCCCAGAGAACAGCAUCUCAUCUUUGAUGCCAGGUUCCCGACAUUUUAUUGGUGCAAAACAAAUAUGUGAAAAUCCCCAAUCCACUUCCAGACAGCUCCUCACUAGGGACUCCUUUACAUCUGAAAUCAUGUCUCAAUUGCUAGUUACAAGAUUAACUCCCGAGAACUUGCCAAGGCAGCUCAGGUGUCUUUAAAGGGAAACACCAAAGCCCUACAGCCUAGGAAGCGAGUUUUCUGCAUUCCUCGGAGUUGGUGCUUCUGCCCAGAGCCAAGCACACGUUCCAAAGGAAGAUUUCUUGAAGGAGGCUGUUCUCCUCAUCCCAUGGUGCCCAAGGUACAUUUUGUAUGGAAUAAUGACCAAAGAAUUCACUGAAAAUUUAAGUAAAGAGACAUUUAUGUGGGGAAUUAGAACUGCAUUCUGCGAAGCACAGCUUCAUGUAGAAACCUGACUCCUGGUAAGAGGAAGACAAAGAGUGGGCAGAGUCAGAAAGACGGAGGUCAUGUGUGCGGUUCUCAUUUAGAUCCUCUGUGCAAAACAGGGGGAUUGAAAUUAUGGUGCGGAAUUGGUUGGGUUAAUAUGCAAAUGAGGGAAUGAAACUUGUGAGAUCACGUGGGCUCUUUUCAAAGUGAGGAAUGCGAAUGAGUCAGGUGUCAUGGGGAGGAGGGAGUUAGGUCCUUGCUCUCAGCUGGCGAAAGGUUCUUCGAUUCUCUGGUGAGGACGUACAUAAAUUCUUCCUCCCUUAUGGCCUCCCCACCUGAUUGCAAAGAGAAUUUUCUCGGCUUGCUAGCCCCAUUUUGAAACCUCCUUUAUAAGAAGUGCUUCUCUUGAAGAAAGGUACAUUUGUGGUGAGUUCGAGGAUACAAUGUGUUCAAGUAAGGACCCAGCUCUGAUACAUUUAUCCUUGAGCUGAGUUUCAUAUGCCAGGCCUUGCCCGGGAAUUUCAGGGAUGUAGCACAGUUCAACAAUAAUUAAUAAUUUUGUGUUUAUCUUCAUAUGCUGGGCAUCGUGCUAAGUGCUUUACAGACAUAUCCUUACUAAGUCCCCCUGCUACUGUGGGAUACCAAUUAGCCUCAUUUUAUAAAUGCGCAAACCAGAGCAUCAAGAAGUUAAAUGACUUGCCCCAGGACACAAAGCUCUAGUAAGUGGUGAACCUGGGAUUCAGAUCCAGGAAUUCGGAUUUAAGAUCCUGUCACAGAGUUUUGGAGACACUAAUUCUGUCUGUGAUCAGCUAAGUUCUCAGUCCUGGCUGCGCAGGAGAACCCUCUAGGAAAUUCUGAAACCUCUUCCUGUGCAGAUUUGCACCCCAAAUUAAACCAGAGCAUGGGACCCAGGCAUAAAUUGUUUUGAAAGCUCCCCAGGUUGACUCCACUGUGCAGCCACAUUGCCAACCAUCCGUGCCAAGUGAUCCUAAUUCUUCCCACCAGCUACUUUUUUUUUUUUUAAACUAGGAAAAAAAUCUAUUUCAUCUUGUUCCUUUCCACAAGCAGCGACAGAGAGGGCAUCCGCGGUCCCUUGCUACCAUCUGCUUACGACCUUUCUCCUCGAGGACCCAGCUGUCUCAGGCCAUAACUGUCUUACGCUGGAUCAAAGAACAAGGCGUGAUCUAUAAUACUCAGGUUUGCAAUACAUUUUAAAAAGAUCCCCCAAAUACAUUGGUGUUCCCUUCAAAGGAAUUUUAAUACUAUAGCACAAUUCAAGAGAUGGCCACUGCCUUUGUUGCUGUUAAGAAAAAAAAAAAGUUGAAACAAGGGUGAGAUUUCACAGAUCUGUAUGUAGGGCGCAAUCAUUGAUCCGGCGCUAGCACUGCCGGGUGCGAAGCGCUGAGACCCGGAUGCUAUAAAUGGGGCUGUGAAGUCACUUGCCGUCCACCGUGACAGGAAGGAAAUUGACAUUCACGGUGCAAUGGACAUUGCACGGGUUUUCACAGAGCGGUGCAUGCCAGCUCCUGCGUGCUAGCUGUGGCAUCCAGCCUUCCCGUCUUGGUUUCUUCAUCUGUGAAGGGGGCUGACCAGGCUCGCCUGCAGGACUGCUUGUGUGCCAGGCAGCCAGCUCUGCACCUGGCGCUGGGCCGUAAUUAUUAUUAGGUGACAGACUGCAUUGGUUGUCUCCUCACAACAGACCCUCAGAAAGCUGCUGUUAUUUCCGCGGAAGGGCAGUGAGCCUCUGAGAGGCCCCACAGUUUGCCCCCCCGGGCAUGCAGUUGUAAAAUGACAGGUCAGGAUUUGUCUCCUGCGCCUGAGGUCCGUGAUCUCUGUUUUUCCUGCCCGUCUGGCUGCCAGCCCUUGUUUCACAGGCCAUCCCGUGGCUGAUGGAUCCAUCAGAGGGACAGCGUCUCAAUGGAUAGUGAAAUAAAAGGCCAACAAAAAUUUGGGGCUCUCUCCCUGGCACGUGGCCAUGUUAUGGAAAAGGAUCAGAAAGGGCAAUAUUAUUUACCCCUUUUGCUUUUCAAGUGGAGUCCCACCUAGAGAGGCCUAGCUAAGAAAUGAAAACUCCAAAGCUCGGGCUGGCAAUAGGUCCCCAGGCCUAACUCUCUGCUGGGUUCAAAAAUCUGGGUGAUCUGUUGUCUGAUUAUGUCAGCAUCUUCGAAGAGGCCCCAUGUUCCCAAGAGAAUUAAGUAUACAUUCCUUCCAAUGCUGGUUUCUACGGUCUUCCAUGGGGGGUGCCUUGGAGGGAACAAUCCGAAGUAGUUUAAGGAGACUUUUAUAUCGUGCUGAAAUAGCUGAGGAGCUCACAGCAAGAAAAAUGGGGGAAGAGAGCCCGGCUGGUGAGCCAUUCGCAACAGAAUGUCUCUUGCCCUGUCAUACCCUGUCUUACCAAGAACCAUGCUGAACAAACCAAAAUUUUAGGAAUCGCCCUAAUUCUUCUCUUCCUGUCGCUUCCUACAGCCAUUCCAUCAGGAAAUCUUGAUGUGUCUAUUUCCAAAAUAGAAAUUCCUAUUCACGUACCCCAUUCCUUGCCACUAACAUUUCUCCCCAGGGCUACUGUGGGAGUCUCCUAAAUGGUCUGCUUGCAGUCCUGCCUCCUUCCAGUGCAUUCUUCUGUUAACGUUCUUUUAUUUAUUAAAGAUUUACUUACUUGAGAGAGAGAGAAAACAUGUGCGCAUGGGGGGAGGGAGAGACUUCAAGCAGACUUGCUGCUGAGCACACACCCCGCUCUGACUCUGUUCUCUAUCCAACAACCCAGAGAUCAUGACCUGAGCCGAAACCAAGAGUUUGAUGCCCAACCGAAUGAGCUACCCAGGUGCCCCUCCUUUAUCACAAAGUUACAUUAUUGUGAUGAUUGAUUUCUUUUCGUCUGUUUCCUUCACUAGAAUGCCAGCUCCCUGAGGGCAGGGGGCGAGCUCUGUUUUAUUCCUCACUGUAUCCCAACUUCUGACACAUUGAAGCUUCUUGAUUAAUAUAUAUGA